AACUAACCCCCUAGCAUACCGCCGAUUGCCCCCGCGUAACAAAUAACUUACAAGCGACACUAAAUCAUUCUUCCCCCCGAGUAUGGGCGACAGAAAGGGACUCAUAUAGCCACAGAGAGAGUACCGCAAGGGAUUCCUGAAAUAGCAAUGAAACAACCUAAAAGACAAGAGCAGUAGAGAUUCACCCUCGUACCUUUUGCAUCAUGGAUUAACAAGUCCGCCCAAGCAAAGAGGCCUUUAGUUUGGCACCCCGAAACCGGACGAGCUACUUCAAGUCAGCCCCUAGG
rnacentral:rRNA from 1 species